CCCUGUCCUCUGUCCUAGGGCUCGGAACCCUUCCCUGCUGCACGCACGCGGUGCUGGCCUACCUGGCAGGGGAACAGCAGACCAAAGCCUCUGAGCCUGGCACUCACCACUGCCUCUGUUCUCAGCGGGAGCCCCAGCACGGAGACCUGACAAGAUGAUGCUGGAUCUUCUGGGACCCUUUCCUCUCCUCCUGGUGCUGCUGGGAUCAUGGGGGCUGGUGCAUCCACUUGGUGCUUGGGCUCAACUCCUCACCAGGGCUCAAAAGUUUGAAAUAUCGCAUGUAAGACCUGGUCCUGUCCAAUGCAACAAUGAAAUGCCUUGUGUCAAUAGUCUUUUUGAGAAAUAUAACAGCUUUGUGAA